AAAAGACUGGCAAGCCAACUCUCAGAAGCAGAGAAAGCUCUACAUUAAUAAGCAACAAAAAAGAAAAGGAGAGAAAGGCACCAUCUGGCUUUGCCCUUCCCACAAAAAUGUCAGGCUCUUGCCUUGCUCUGGAAGUGUACAGAAGCUGCACAUCAGCACUGGGAGACUCAGGAGUGGGGUCCUGGGGAAUGCUUUUUUGAGUGAGCAACUUUUCAAGUGCAACAUCAGGGGUGCAUUUGACUGCCUGAGGAGCUGAUCCUGGAAGAAAAACCUCUGAGACCUGUGCAGCAGUCCAGAGCUCUGCUUGCAGCCAGUUUGCAUCAGAACUCAUGGAAAUGGGUGCUGCGGCUGGUGUUGGAUUACCAAGUAUAUCCAGUUCAAAUAUCCUUAGAUCUGGGAAACCACCAGAGCAUCAUGACAAAAAUGCUGAUUGAUUUUGAACUCCUGCCAAACCAAAUUGUUAACAAAUUUUGGGGAAAAAAAUUGUCCGCAGAUUUUCAGCUCAUACACUCGUCCUUUAAUCUUGACCAAGGAUUCUUCAGAAACCAACAUGAAAACACAAGACUGAAACAAGCUUGGCUCUGGGUGCUCUGCCUGGUUCAGUGUUAAUGUUACUUUGUCUCCACACCUGAUUUAGGUGCAGUUUGAAUUGCUGGAUGUAUAUAUAAUUUAUGUUUCUAGAGGAAAACUUAACACAAGUCCCAAACAUUACUCUGCCACCAUUUUCUUUAUUUGGCAACUUUAAGAAGGUUCUCAGAAUUUUCCUCCAGUCUCUUGUCUGUUAGACACAGUUUCAUGCAGAGCUGUUAGCAAGUGUCUGGUAUCUAACAUCAUCCACAUGGAAAGUUUGCUUAAUACCAUCCAAAAUCUGUUUUUAUCCUAGGCUGAAAACACAUGCAUGCAGCAAAAUAGACUGCGGAAUUCCAAAAUAAGUUUAUUACACUACAGCUGUAGUUAGGUAAUUUUGCCCUAAGAUUAGAAAUUUUGAAAAACCUUCAAGAAACAAGUAUUUUUUCUCUGUUGACAGCUCUUUACAGGCAUGGAUUUCUUCUUUCAUUUUGCCUAAUGAGAAUAUCCAUUAUUCUGCAUACAACCUGGAUGUGGUAGUUUUUUUUUAAUUUUCACUUUUACAGAUACCCAAACUUUGAGAAGUAAAAAUGUGAAAGUCAGUAUUCAUUAUUAUUCUUGAUUAAAAUCUUUAAGGCUUUUUCUUUUUGCCAAAUUAAAAAUUUCCAGCAAAAUGAAAAAAAAAAAAAAAGCCACUUUAAAGCUUAAAAUACAGUACUUUCUUGUCCUUUCCUCAUUCUGUAUGGAACUUCUCUGUGCCAAAAAUGAAUUUAAUCUCCCCAAAGCCAAAACUUCAAGUCAGUUUUCAACCACAUUGCUCAAGAAACAGCAAAGACAGAAACAGAACAGCAUUUCAGUAGGCAGUUGCCAUCAGGACAUUGUGGCACACUCUAGUUUGUUGAAAAAAUAUAGUAUAAUAUCAAACGUAGGAAAAAUCUGUUUAGUUCCUAGGCUACAUGAAUUGCUGGAUUAGACAGUGCGAGUGAGAUGGAGGCUUCACUGUCUUUUCACAUUGCUUAUGUUGACUUCCACGUAACUGUGAACUUUUUACAAAAAUAGAUACAAUUAUCUAAACUUUGUCAUUUUUCUAGCUAUCGUAACACAUAUUUUGACUGAGAAUUUGAGCUGCAAGAACAGUCUACAUCAAAAGACAAGAAGGCUAUUUGGUCUGGUUCUAAGGAGACUGCUCUUGGAGCAAAUGCUUGUUUUCCCAUGUUUCUACUGAUCCUUAACCUUCCUGUUUGGUGUGUUGAGCAAAAAAGCAGCCAACAUGGCUAUCAUCCAAAAAAAAGGUCUUUGGAAGUAUAUUGGUCUGUACAGCAGUUUGUUUUCACUGUGCUGAUGAUAGUUUAUAACUGCAUGUAGUUAAAACGUAGUUAAAAGCUCUUGAAGAUGGCAUCAUUCAAGACCCUUCCUGGUCAUGUUGGCAUCAGGCAUCUGCAGUAUGUUCUCUUGAACAGUUUGGUUUCCCACAAAAUAUUUCAUAUAUUUUCAUCCAAAAAAAAAAAAAAAAAAAGAUUCCAGUAGAAUAAUUUAUCAUUUUGAGACUAUUCAUCCAGUUAAAAUCAAAUGUUUGUAAAGUAUAUAAAAAGUAGACCUCAUAGCCAAAACGGGGGAGGGGGAAGGUUGCAAACAGGGUUGUUGCAACUGUAAUUUAAAGCUUUGAAGUGUUAAGCACAAGUAAUUGAGUUCAAAGCCUGAAUUGGAGAAAGCCACAGAAAAUAAACAGAAGGGAUCUUUCCAGCUAUAAAAAUCUAUGUGGGAAAGAUUCAUACAAAAAUGAUCUCAGAUGUCUGUUAAGUAGUUUUCCUAAAUUACUUUUCUUUCC
ensembl:lncRNA